rnacentral:rRNA from 1 species
GAUGAACGCUGGCGGCGUGCCUAAUACAUGCAAGUCGAGCGAACAGAUGAGGAGCUUGCUCCUCUGACGUUAGCGGCGGACGGGUGAGUAACACGUGGAUAACCUACCUAUAAGACUGGGAUAACUUCGGGAAACCGGAGCUAAUACCGGAUAAUAUAUUGAACCGCAUGGUUCAAUAGUGAAAGACGGUUUUGCUGUCACUUAUAGAUGGAUCCGCGCCGCAUUAGCUAGUUGGUAAGGUAACGGCAUACCAAGGCGACGAUGCGUAGCCGACCUGAGAGGGUGAUCGGCCACACUGGAACUGAGACACGGUCCAGACUCCUACGGGAGGCAGCAGUAGGGAAUCUUCCGCAAUGGGCGAAAGCCUGACGGAGCAACGCCGCGUGAGUGAUGAAGGUCUUCGGAUCGUAAAACUCUGUUAUUAGGGAAGAACAAAUGUGUAAGUAACUAUGCACGUCUUGACGGUACCUAAUCAGAAAGCCACGGCUAACUACGU